GCCGCAUACUGUCGGUACCAGCGCUGGAUCAGCACCGCAGCCUUCAUUGCUUUCAAGAGAACACGACUGAGGACUCUUGCGUGCAAUUCUCGCAAAGCGCAUGCGCACUCGAGUCCACACGUUAUAUCAGCAGCUGUUGACAGCAGAGAGCGCAUGCAUGUGUUUACUGUUGCGUUGCCACCCACACCGUCAGGAGAGAUUUUUGACAGCAAGGUUCUGUCCAGUGUCCAGAUAGAUCAUGAAGAUCGCCGUUCUCGACUGGUCAGACCGGGCAGCAGCUGCUCAAUCAGGCUCUGCAGGGAGAAACUGACGCUGACGCACGAGAACCUCAAGAAAGUAGCAUGUGACCGACUAGCCCCACAGGAGCACU